rnacentral:rRNA from 1 species
CGUGUAGGCGGACAAGUCAGUCGAUGGUGAAAUCCUACAGCUUAACUGUAGAACUGCCUUUGAUACUACUUGUCUUGAGUUCGGGAGAGGGAAGCGGAAUUCCUGGUGUAGCGGUGAAAUGCGUAGAUAUCAGGAAGAACACCGGUAGCGAAGGCAGCUUCCUGGCCCGAUACUGACGCUAAAGCGCGAAAGCGUGGGGAGCAAACA